UUCUUUACAGUUGAGUUUUCAGUAUUGUGGACUGGAGUAUCUCCCUCUUUUCGCUUUGUUGAUUGCAUUUUGCCACAUCCACCAUUGACUUGAUUAGGGAUAUUGUUUGUUGUGGAGUUUGCGAUUUUAGUAAUUGGUUGGAAGAGGUUGGAGAUUCUAUGCAAAGGAGACUCUCAAUUGUUUUUCUGUCAUUGUUUUUCAAAUCAAGGUGAAUCCAAACUGUGAACUGAUUGUCAGCAACAUCUUUCCGGCUACACAACUUUCCCUGCCAUCAAUAGAAGAAGAACCAGGAACUGCAACACCAGAUUGUCCCCUUGCCCAAAAAAAAAUAUCAAUUGAAGCAAGCAAAAGGACACUGUUCAAUUCUAACCCAGAAAAGAAAAUCAGGAGGGAAGCAGAACAAGGAAGCACCACUUCAUCAUCACUGACAAAAGAAAAACAUGAGAAUGAAAACAAGGAAUAAACAUGCACCCCUCUUUUGUACAAAUGUAACUAACAAGUAGCAGCUGCAUUGCCUACAAUUUUUGGGUUAACUGUAGUCAACUAAUCAACUGAAACAUUUUGUACAGUGGAACAACCAUUUUUUGUAAACCAACUUAAGUUGAUUCAGCAGCUAUAACUGAAGCAAUGUUAUGUUUUGAAGAUACAAUGCAGCUGCUGUGCUUAACAGUAUUUAUCACUUACUGUUGCUAGGUUAAUCAAUGACAAAUUUGUUGAACUAGCAUUUUUGUAUUAGGUAUAAUUCAAUGUAAACAAUGUAAAAGUACUUAUA